UACGGGGGGGGCAAGCGUUGUUCGGAAUUACUGGGCGUAAAGGGCGCGUAGGCGGCCCGCUAAGUCGAACGUGAAAUCCCCGGGCUCAACCCGGGAACUGCGUCCGAUACUGGUGGGCUCGAAUCCGGGAGAGGGAUGCGGAAUUCCAGGUGUAGCGGUGAAAUGCGUAGAUAUCUGGAGGAACACCGGUGGCGAAGGCGGCAUCCUGGACCGGUAUUGACGCUGAGGCGCGAAAGCCAGAGGAGCAAACGGG
rnacentral:rRNA from 1 species